AUUGAACGCUGGCGGCAGGCCUAACACAUGCAAGUCGAACGAGUGGCGGACGGGUGAGUAAUGUCUGGGAAACUGCCUGAUGGAGGGGGAUAACUACUGGAAACGGUAGCUAAUACCGCAUACCAUCGGAUGUGCCCCGAUGGGAUUAGCUGGUUGGUGGGGUAACGGCGCACCAAGGCGACGAUCCCUAGCUGGUCUGAGAGGAUGACCAGCCACACUGGAACUGAGACACGGUUCAGACGUCUACGGGAGGCAGCAGUGGGGAAUAGUGCACAAUGGGCGCAAGCCUGAUGCAGCCAUGCCGCGUGGAUGAAGAAGGCCUGCGUGUUGUAAAGUACUUUCAGCGGGGAGGCGUUACCCGCAGAAGAAGCACCGGCUAACUCCGUGCCAGCCGCCGCGGUAAUAC
rnacentral:rRNA from 1 species